UUGAAUUUUAAUGAAGAGUUUGGUUGUAGCUGGCCCAUUCAUUUGGGCAUGUGCACACCUUCCUCUUUCAUCCCACACACACCUGUGAACCUGUGAGACAGAGAUGGGGAAUUUACUUGCUGCUUUUUGGAAUACAAAGGCAAUAGGUUAUUGGACCCCCCCUCUGUCUACUCAAUUAAUAUAAACUCAAUUUAUUUUAAAAACGAAUGUAAUGGAUGUAACACAUCUCAUAC
rnacentral:misc_RNA from 1 species